GGCUACAUGGCGCAGUGGUUAAGCGCCUAGCAGACAUUAGUGUGAAAUACUAAUGUAAUAAGUUCAAAUCCCAUUGUGGUCC
rnacentral:tRNA from 1 species